rnacentral:lncRNA from 1 species
UAUACCGGGUGGCCCAAAAAAAAGUACUCCUGUUUGAUUCGUAAUAACAUCUAAACAAGUAUAGCUUUUAAAGAGAAAUAACUUGCAUCAAAUAGAGGAAGGACUAACUUAGACUUUGAUAUAUUACAGUUGUAUUUCACUUAAAAAUUCACGGAGAUAUUAAUCUUUAAAUUCGGGAGGAUAUUUCUGGAUGUGUCCGAAAUAUGCAAAAAUCGGCGUAUCAAAUAUUAAUCAAGAUUUGCCCGACUGAAACAUGCACUAUUACCAGUAAAUAAAUGACACUUGACAAAUUGUUUAUUAUGAAACAAAAUAUUAUUAUAUCAGCUACAAAAUACAAGCAAGAUUCAUUCGUCCGAAAUUCGCGUGUGUUCCUAGCACGAAUACGUUUCCUUAUUUCAUGAGACCACUGCAUCGCGAAGGAUCGUCAUUGGAUCGUUCGUAGUUCUGAAUUAGGGCAUGCUGUCACAACGGAAUUGUGAAGCUCUUCUAACUUCUGCAACAUUCUGAAAUCUUGUUAAGAACACCCAAACUCUUUUGCCGUUUCUUAAUCUUGGCAAGUUCAUGGAGUAAACUGAGAAUUAUAUGAAACACAAUCAAACCAUACAACUCCAUAAGACAUAACAAUUAAGCAACUCCCCAGAGACAUGCAAUAUUUUUGGAACAAAACGUAACAAAAUAGUAGCGUUGAUACGGUGAUGUGUAUUUGCAAAAAGCAAUAUUAUUUCCUUCAAUAAAGAAUAAUAUUCAUCCUGCUCUAACCGAGAAAUAAUCUACUCAGUCUGUUUGAACCCAUUAAAAACAUAAAAAAAUUAGGCUAUUUAAGAAUACGAAAAAUUUAAGCGCCUGCCUCCCAUGGUCAGUCUUUCAUGUACAUUUAAGUUUGCAAAGACCUAAUAUUAAAUACUUGCAUAAUUUCGAACGUUCAUAUUUCAGGAAACAAUGAGCUAAGACUUUCAUGUAAGAUGUCUAAAUCUACGC